AACGAACGCUGGUGGCAUGCUUAAUACAUGCAAGUCGAACGAGAAAGUGGCUUCGGUCACGAGUACAGUGGCGCACGGGUGAGUAACACGUAGGUGACCUACCUAUUAGUGGGGGACAACAUCGGGAAACCGGUGCUAAUACCGCAUGUGGAGAGUGACAUUGGAAAAACUCUCUAAAGACGGCUUCGGCUGUCGCUAGUAGAAGGGCCUGCGGGACAUUAGCUUGAUGGUGGGGUAAAGGCUUACCAUGGCUUCGAUGUCUAGCUGGUCUGAGAGGAUGAUCAGCCACACUGGAACUGAGACACGGUCCAG
rnacentral:rRNA from 1 species